GACUACUGGGGUAUCUAAUCCCGUUUGCUCCCCUGGCUUUCGCGCCUCAGCGUCAGUUGCUGCCCAGCAAGUCGCCUUCGCCACCGGUGUUCUUCCCGAUAUCUACGCAUUUCACCGCUACACCGGGAAUUCCACUUGCCUCUGCAGCACUCCAGCUCGUCGGUCUCGACCGCUUCACCGGGUUAAGCCCGGAUCUUUAACAGCCGACUCGACGCGCAGCCUGCGCGCCCUUUACGCCCAGUAAUUCCGGACAACGCUCGUCCCCUACGUAUUACCGCGGCUGCUGGCACGUAGUUAGCCGGGACUUAUUCGUACGCUACCGUCAUCUGCUUCUUCACGUACAAAAGAAGUUUACGACCCGAAGGCCUUCUUCCCUCACGCGGCGUCGCUGGGUCAGGGUUGCCCCCAUUGCCCAAUAUUCCCCACUGCAGCCACCCGUAGG
rnacentral:rRNA from 1 species